rnacentral:rRNA from 1 species
ACGAACGCUGGCGGCGUGCUUAACACAUGCAAGUCGCACGGAAAGGCCCUGCUUUUGUGGGGUGCUCGAGUGGCGAACGGGUGAGUAACACGUGAGUAACCUGCCCUUGACUUUGGGAUAACUUCAGGAAACUGGGGCUAAUACCGGAUAGGAGCUCCUGCUGCAUGGGGGGGGUUGGAAAGUUUCGGCGGUUGGGGAUGGACUCGCGGCUUAUCAGCUUGUUGGUGGGGUAGUGGCUUACCAAGGCUUUGACGGGUAGCCGGCCUGAGAGGGUGACCGGCCACAUUGGGACUGAGAUACGGCCCAGACUCCUACGGGAGGCAGCAGUGGGGAAUAUUGCACAAUGGGCGGAAGCCUGAUGCAGCAACGCCGCGUGCGGGAUGACGGCCUUCGGGUUGUAAACCGCUUUCGCCUGUGACGAAGCGUGAGUGACGGUAAUGGGUAAAGAAGCACCGGCUAACUACGUG